AGAGUGGGUCGGGCGGUCGCCGGUUCGCUUUGUGCGGGCCGGAGGAAAGUCCGAGCAGGACAGGGCAACGGUGGUGGCUAACGGCCACCCGGGGCGACCCGCGGGAAAGUGCCACAGAAAAUACACAGCCGAUGGUUCCGACUAGUCGGUUCACAGGCAAUGGUGAAAUGGUGCGGCAAGAGCGCACCGCGGCGUUGGUGACAGCGCCGGCAGGGCAAACCCCACCGCCUGCAAGACCAAGCAGCUGGUUACUCGGCCCGAGUGCGGUCGGUCUGCCUUCGGUGGAUCGACUCGGCCAGCGGGUAGGUCGCUUGCCGAUGAGGCAGAGCCGAUUGGCAACAGUCGGUCAAGAUAAAUGGCCGCCGUCCGCCGUUACCGGUGGGACACAGGACUCGGCUUAAAGACCCACUCUUUUC
rnacentral:RNase_P_RNA from 2 species